rnacentral:tRNA from 2 species
CGGGGCGUGGCGCAGCUUGGUAGCGCGCGUCGUUCGGGACGACGAGGUCGGAGGUUCAAAUCCUCUCGCCCCGACCA